CAAGUCGAACGGUAAGGCCCCUUCGGGGGUACACGAGUGGCGAACGGGUGAGUAACACGUGAGCAACCUGCCCUUGACACUGGAAUAACAGUUGGAAACAGCUGCUAAUGCCGGAUAUGACCUUCGGUGACAUCACCUGGAGGUGGAAAGUGCUUAGCGGUCAAGGAUGGGUUCGCGGCCUAUCAGCUAGUUGGUGAGGUAACGGCUCACCAAGGCUUCGACGGGUAGCCGGCCUGAGAGGGCGACCGGCCACACUGGGACUGAGAUACGGCCCAGACUCCUACGGGAGGCAGCAGUGGGGAAUAUUGCACAAUGGGCGCAAGCCUGAUGCAGCAACGCCGCGUGCGGGAUGACGGCCUUCGGGUUGUAAACCGCUUUCAGUUCCGACGAAGCGCAAGUGACGGUAGGAACAGAAGAAGGACCGGCCAACUACGUGCCAGCAGCCGCGGUGAUACGUAGGGUCCGAGCGUUGUCCGGAAUUAUUGGGCGUAAAGGGCUUGUAGGCGGUUCGUCACGUCGGAAGUGAAAACUCAGGGCUUAACCCUGAGCCUGCUUCCGAUACAGGCGAACUAGAGGAAUGCAGGGGAGAAUGGAAUUCCUGGUGGAGCGGUGGAAUGCGCAGAUAUCAGGAGGAACACCGGUGGCGAAGGCGGUUCUCUGGGCAUUUCCUGACGCUGAGAAGCGAAAGCGUGGGGAGCAAACAGGCUUAGAUACCCUGGUAGUCCACGCCGUAAACGGUGGGCACUAGGUGUGGGGAACAUUCCACGUUCUCCGUGCCGAAGCUAACGCAUUAAGUGCCCCGCCUGGGGAGUACGGCCGCAAGGCUAAAACUCAAAGGAAUUGACGGGGGCCCGCACAAGCGGCGGA
rnacentral:rRNA from 1 species